rnacentral:rRNA from 1 species
UACGUAGGGGGCAAGCGUUGUUCGGAUUUACUGGGCGUAAAGGGCGCGUAGGCGGCGCUGUAAGUCACUUGUGAAAUCUCCGGGCUUAACUCGGAACGGUCAAGUGAUACUGCAGUGCUAGAGUGCGGAAGGGGCAAUCGGAAUUCUUGGUGUAGCGGUGAAAUGCGUAGAUAUCAAGAGGAACACCUGAGGUGAAGACGGGUUGCUGGGCCGACACUGACGCUGACAGCGCGAAAGCCAGGGGAGCAAACGGG